rnacentral:pre_miRNA from 19 species
AAUGCACAGCUACAGCUGGUUGAAGGGGACCAAAUCCAUCCAACAGCUGAUUUGGUUCCAUUUUACCAGCUUCAGCAAAGCAUUUGG